rnacentral:lncRNA from 1 species
GCUGGGUCUAGUCAGGCUAGAGAUGGUGGUGUAGAUGAGGCUGGGUCUAGUCAGGUUAUGGAUGGUGGUGUAGAUGAGGCUGGGUCUAGUCAUGCUACAGAUGGUGGUGUAGAUGAGGCUGGGUCUAGUCAUGCCAUGGAUGGUGGUGUAGAUGAGGCUGGGUCUAGUCAUGCUACAGAUGGUGGUGUAGAUGAGGCUGGGUCUAGUCAUGCUAGAGAUGGUGGUGUAGAUGAGGCUGGGUUUAGUCAUGUUAUAGAUGGUGGUGUAGAUGAGGCUGGGUCUAGUCAUGCCAUGGAUGGUGGUGUAGAUGAUGCUGGGUCUAGUCAUGCUAGAGAUGGUGGUAUAGAUGAGGCUGGGUCUAGUCAGGUUAUAGAUGGUGGUGUAGAUGAGGCUGGGUCUAGUCAUGCUAGAGAUGGUGGUGUAGAUGAGGCUGGGUUUAGUCAUGUUAUAGAUGGUGGUGUAGAUGAGGCUGGGUCUAGUCAGGUUAUAGAUGGUGGUGUAGAUGAUGCUGGGUCUAGUCAUGCCAUGGAUGGUGGUGUAGAUGAGGCUGGGUCUAGUCAGGUUAUGGAUGGUGGUGUAGAUGAGGCUGGGUCUAGUCAGGUUAUGGAUGGUGGUGUAGAUGAGGCUGGGUCUAGUCAGGCUAGAGAUGGUGGUGUAGAUGAGGCUGGGUCUAGUCAGGUUAUGGAUGGUGGUGUAGAUGAGGCUGGGUCUAGUCAUGCCAUGGAUGGUGGUGUAGAUGAGGCUGGGUCUAGUCAUGCUACAGAUGGUGGUGUAGAUGAGGCUGGGUCUAGUCAUGCUAGAGAUGGUGGUGUAGAUGAGGCUGGGUUUAGUCAUGUUAUAGAUGGUGGUGUAGAUGAGGCUGGGUCUAGUCAGGUUAUAGAUGGUGGUGUAGAUGAUGCUGGGUCUAGUCAUGCUAGAGAUGGUGGUAUAGAUGAGGCUGGGUCUAGUCAGGUUAUAGAUGGUGGUGUAGAUGAGGCUGGGUCUAGUCAGGUUAUGGAUGGUGGUGUAGAUGAGGCUGGGUCUAGUCAGGUUAUGGAUGGUAGUGUAGAUGAGGCUGGGUCUAGUCAGGUUAUGGAUGGUGGUGUAGAUGAGACUGGGUCUAGUCAGGUUAUAGAUGGUGGUGUAGAUGAUGCUGGGUCUAGUCAGGUUAUGGAUGGUGGUGUAGAUGAGGCUGGGUCUAGUCAGGUUAUGGAUGUAGUGUAGAUGAGGCUGGGUCUAGUCAGGUUAUAGAUGGUGGUGUAGAUGAUGCUGGGUCUAGUCAGGUUAUGCUAGUGGAUGAGGAGAGUAUAGUGGGGAAGUGUAAGAAACUAGGGGGGAG